GCUGGGCUGACGCACGGGGAGCAGUCCUACAAAAAGAAAUACCAGCACAACUCUCCUCCUCAAUGCCUACAGGUACGGCAUCGCUGCCGCCGCCACCACGCGGCGCGACCUUCUUCCCCGGCCGUUCACCAGCACGGGCUCUCCUCCUCAAUGCCUACAGGUACGGCACCGCGGCCGCCACCACGCGCUUCCUCCCCUGCCGCUUUGUCGCCAUGCCGUGACGGCGUACUAGGCCUUGCCGGGCGCCGAGGACCAACGGAUCAAUACCUCCGCCCACUCCGGCCUCCACCACACCAGCCCGAACCGCUGCUCACGGGCACGGGGGGAUGGAGAACCCCGACGGGCACGCAAGAGCUGACGCGGGGGCGGGUCUGGGCAGUGACCCACCCGGGCUUCCCCCACCCACACCGCUGCCCUUGGACGCCACGGGGGUGGGUCUGGCCGUCCUGGCAGGGACCCGGCCAAGGUUCUCCCACCGCCAGCCCCGCAUCUCCCCGGGGCACCCCGUAUGACGAGGCGUAGGCAGCCAACGGAUCCGCAUACCCGGCCGAGCAUGCUCAUUGAACGGGACCUUCCACGAGGCGGCGGGCUACCAGGCAGCGGAGGCCACAAAGAUGGCUAAGCUACCAGGCCACCGCCGAGAUGGCUGAGCCCAUGGUCCCCGAGCAGUCAUACAAGGAUGAUGUGGCUUCAGUGGAAGAGGCUAGAUUAUGGUAUGUUGUCACCAUGGAUUUCUUUGACUUCGAUGCUUGGACCGCACUUAUUUGAGAGACAGAGAGAAUUGCUGAGCUCAGAGCAACAUAGUGAAAAUAUGAAAAGUGUAUGAUGCAUUCCUUGUGAAGUCCCCUUUGAGCUUUGGCUAUUGGAAGAAAUAUGCAGAUCAUGAAGGCCUUCUAGAUGGUGUCAAUAAAGUUUUUGAGGUGUAUGGAUGGGCAGUUCUUGUAGUUACUUAUUCAGUGGACAUAUUGUGUAAUUAUUGUCAGUUUGUGAUUUCAACAUACAAUGGCACAGAUGUCAUCAGAAGGUAGCAAUUGAGUACCCAAACUAUUCUGAUGAAGUUUUUAACUUCUUUUUGUGUCUUGACUUUUGUUAGCUACUGCAUUUUAUGUCAUAUGUACAGGA